rnacentral:rRNA from 1 species
UACGUAGGGUGCGAGCGUUAAUCGGAAUUACUGGGCGUAAAGCGCGCGCAGGCGGUUCGUUGUGUCGGCGGUGAAAGCCCCGGGCUUAACCUGGGAAUGGCCGUUGAAACUGGCGAACUGGAGUGUGGCAGAGGGGGGUGGAAUUCCGCGUGUAGCAGUGAAAUGCGUAGAGAUGCGGAGGAACACCGAUGGCGAAGGCAGCCCCCUGGGCUAACACUGACGCUCAGGCACGAAAGCGUGGGGAGCAAACAGG